ACUCCUACGGGAGGCAGCAGUGGGAAUAUUGCACAAUGGGAAGCCAUCGAUGCAGCAACGACCGCGUGGAGGAUGACACAUUUCGGUGCGUAAACUCCUUUUAUAUAGGAAGAUAAUGACGGUACUAUAUGAAUAAGCGCCGGCUAACUCCGUGCCAGCAGCCGCGGUAAUACGGAGGGCGCAAGCGUUACUCGGAAUCACUGGGCGUAAAGAGCGUGUAGGCGGAUAGAUAAGUCAGGAGUGAAAUCCUAUGGCUCAACCAUAGAACUGCUCUUGAAACUGUCAAUCUAGAGUAUGGGAGAGGUAGAUGGAAUUUCUGGUGUAGGGGUAAAAGUCCAGUAGAGAUCAGAAGGAAUACCGAUUGCGAAGGCGAUCUACUGGAACAUAACUGACGCUGAGACGCGAAAGCGUGGGGAGCAAACAGGAUUAGAUACCCUGGUAGCGAGUAG
rnacentral:rRNA from 1 species